UAGUCAUAUGCUUGUCUCAAAGAUUAAGCCAUGCAUGCCUAUGUAUAUGCUCUUGCACAGUGAAACCACGAAUGGCUCAUUAAAUCAGCUAUUGUUUAUUGGAUUAUACCCGUUACAUGGAUAACUGUAGUAAUUCUAGAGCUAAUACAUGCCUCGAAUCCGUGACCCGCAAGGGAAUCGGUGCACUUAUCAGUACAAGACUAACCGGGCGCUUCGGUGCCUGAUCAUGUCGUGUUGACUCUGGAUAAUUUCUACAGAUCGCAUUCGGCCUUGUGUCGGCGACAGUUCUUUCAAGUGUCUGCCCUAUCAACUUACGAUGGUAGGUAACCUGCCUACCAUGGUGAUAACGGGUAACGGGGAAUCAGGGUUCGAUUCCGGAGAGGGAGCCUGAGAAACGGCUACCACAUCCAAGGAAGGCAGCAGGCGCGCAAAUUACCCACUCCCGGCACGGGGAGUAGUGACGAAAAUAACGAUGCGGGCUCAUUGAGGAUCCGUAAUCGGAAUGAGUACAGUAUAAAGCCUUUAACGAGGAUCAAUUGGAGGGCAAGUCUGGUGCCAGCAGCCGCGGUAACUCCAGCUCCAAUAGCGUAUAUUAAAGUUGCUGCAGUUAAAAAGCUCGUAGUUGGAUCUUGACGGCACUGCCACUAGUUAUAAGGGAUUGCGGAUUUAGUUGCUUGUCUUCUGAAUUUGCGUCAUUUGUGGCUUGUAGGUGGUGCAGUCUUUCAGCCGUGUCUGUUUCUUUCGGGAUGCAGGUGCCUUUUGAUGGAUGGGCAUGUCUUGUCUGGCAAAUGGUACGUACCACGAUCCACUUUAUUGCGUGUCGUGGUGCGGGCGGCAUGUUUACUUUGAACAAAUUUGAGUGCUCAAAGCAGGCCAAUGUGUCUGAAAAGUCUUGCAUGGAAUAAUAGAAUAGGACUUCAGUUCUAUUUUGUUGGUUUUCGGAUCUGAAGUAAUGGUUAAGAGAGACAGACGGGGGCAUUUGUAUGGCGGUGUUAGAGGUGAAAUUCUUGGAUCGCCGCCAGACAACCUGAAGCGAAAGCAUUUGCCAGGAAUGUUUUCAUUGACAAAGAGCGAAAGUCAGAGGUUCGAAGACGAUCAGAUACCGUCCUAGUUCUGACCAUAAACGAUGCCGACUGACGAUCCGUGGGGUAAAAAAUUUUUGUCCCCACGGGCAGUCUCCGGGAAACCUUUAAGUCUUUGGGUUCCGGGGGAAGUAUGGUUGCAAAGCUGAAACUUAAAGGAAUUGACGGAAGGGCACCACCAGGAGUGGAGCCUGCGGCUUAAUUUGACUCAACACGGGAAAACUCACCCGGCCCGGACACUGUGAGGAUUGACAGAUUGAUAGCUCUUUCAUGAUUUAGUGGUUGGUGGUGCAUGGCCGUUCUUAGUUGGUGGAGCGAUUUGUCUGGUUAAUUCCGAUAACGAACGAGACUCUAUUCUGCUAACUAGUACACUCGCAAUUGGUGAUUUGCUUUGUGCCGUUCAACUGCUCAAUGGGCGGUUGGCGGUUGCGGGCUUAUUACUACGCGGGUGAAACUUCUUAGAGAGACAGGUUGCGUUAGCAACACGAAAUUGAGCAAUAACAGGUCUGUGAUGCCCUUAGAUGUCCGGGCCGCACGCGCGCUACAAUGACGGUACCAGCGAGUAUGACCUCCUGGCCCGAGAGGGUUAGGCAAACUGGUCCAUGACCGUCGUGACAGGGAUCGGGGUUUGUAAUUAUCCCCCGUGAACGAGGAAUUCCCAGUAAGUGCAAGUCAUAAGCUUGUGCUGAUUACGUCCCUGCCCUUUGUACACACCGCCCGUCGCUACUACCGAUUGAAUGGUUUGACAAGGCCUUCGGAUUGGUGCCAUUGCAACAGUUUUCUGUUCUACAGGAUCGAAAAGAGGACCAAAUUUGAUCAUUUAGAGGAAGUAAAAGUCGUAACAAGGUUUCCGU
rnacentral:rRNA from 1 species